CUUUACUGUAGCCUGGAAUUGGCUUCGGGCUUCGCUUGCGCAGGAUAGGUGGGAAGCGUUGAAAGUCCCCUCGUGGGGGGGCUGGAGCUAACGGUGAGAUACCACUCUGGCGAGGCUAGAAUUCUAACCCUGACCCGUUAUCCGGGCGGGAGACAGUUUCAGGUGGGCAGUUUGACUGGGGCGGUCGCCUCCUAAAAGGUAACGGAGGCGCGCAAAGGUUCCCUCGGUCCCGUUGGAAAUGGGACGAUAGAGUGCAAAAGCAGAAGGGGGCUUGACUGUGAGACCUACAAGUCGAACAGGGACGAAAGUCGGCUUUAGUGAUCCGACGGCACCGCGUGGAAGGGCCGUCGCUCAACGGAUAAAAGUUA
rnacentral:rRNA from 1 species